UUUAAUAUGGCAGAAUAGUGCAAUGAAUUUAAACUUCAAAUAUAAAGAUCAAUUCUUUUAUUAAAA
rnacentral:tRNA from 1 species